rnacentral:tRNA from 1 species
AGGCGCUUAGGUUAAACUAGACCAAAGGCCUUCAAAGCCUUAAGAGAGGGUUAAAACCCCUCAGCCCCUG